GACGAACGCUGGCGGCGUGCUUAACACAUGCAAGUCGAACGGAAAGGCCCUGCUUUUGUGGGGUGCUCGAGUGGCGAACGGGUGAGUAACACGUGAGUAACCUGCCCUUGACUUUGGGAUAACUUCAGGAAACUGGGGCUAAUACCGGAUAUGAGCUCCUGCUGCAUGGUGGGGGUUGGAAAGUUUCGGCGGUUGGGGAUGGACUCGCGGCUUAUCAGCUUGGUGGUGGGGUAGUGGCUUACCAAGGCUUUGACGGGUAGCCGGCCUGAGAGGGUGACCGGCCACAUUGGGACUGAGAUACGGCCCAGACUCCUACGGGAGGCAGAAGUGGGGAAUAUUGCACAAUGGGCGGAAGCCUGAUGCAGCAACGCCGCGUGCGGGAUGACGGCCUUCGGGUUGUAAACCGCUUUCGCCUGUGACGAAGCGUGAGUGACGGUAAUGGGUAAAGAAGCACCGGCUAACUACGUG
rnacentral:rRNA from 1 species